AGAGUUUGAUCCUGUCUCAGGACGAACGCGGCGGCUUGCUUAACACAUGCAGAGUCGAACGGAAAGGCCCUUCGGGGUACUCGAGUGGCGAACGGGUGAGUAACACGUGGGUGAUCUGCCCUGCACUUUGGGAUAAGCCUGGGAAACUGGGUCUAAUACCGGAUAGGACCACGCGCUUCAUGGUGUGUGGUGGAAAGCUUUUGCGGUGUGGGAUGGGCCCGCGGCCUAUCAGCUUGUUGGUGGGGUAAUGGCCUACCAAGGCGACGACGGGUAGCCGGCCUGAGAGGGUGACCGGCCACACUGGGACUGAGAUACGGCCCAGACUCCUACGGGAGGCAGCAGUGGGGAAUAUUGCACAAUGGGCGCAAGCCUGAUGCAGCGACGCCGCGUGAGGGAUGACGGCCUUCGGGUUGUAAACCUCUUUCAAUAGGGACGAAGCGCAAGUGACGGUACCUAUAGAAGAAGGACCGGCCAACUACGUGCCAGCAGCCGCGGUAAUACGUAGGGUCCGAGCGUUGUCCGGAAUUACUGGGCGUAAAGAGCUCGUAGGUGGUUUGUCGCGUUGUUCGUGAAAACUCACAGCUUAACUGUGGGCGUGCGGGCGAUACGGGCAGACUAGAGUACUGCAGGGGAGACUGGAAUUCCUGGUGUAGCGGUGGAAUGCGCAGAUAUCAGGAGGAACACCGGUGGCGAAGGCGGGUCUCUGGGCAGUAACUGACGCUGAGGAGCGAAAGCGUGGGGAGCGAACAGGAUUAGAUACCCUGGUAGUCCACGCCGUAAACGGUGGGUACUAGGUGUGGGUUUCCUUCCUUGGGAUCCGUGCCGUAGCUAACGCAUUAAGUACCCCGCCUGGGGAGUACGGCCGCAAGGCUAAAACUCAAAGGAAUUGACGGGGGCCCGCACAAGCGGCGGAGCACCUGGAUUAAUUCGAUGCAACGCGAAGAACCUUACCUG
rnacentral:rRNA from 1 species